rnacentral:rRNA from 1 species
GACGAACGCUGGCGGCGUGCUUAACACAUGCAAGUCGAGCGGUAAGGCCCUUUCGGGGGUACACGAGCGGCGAACGGGUGAGUAACACGUGGGUGACCUGCCCUCAGCUCUGGGAUAAGCCUGGGAAACCGGGUACUAAUACCGGAUAUGACUCCAUGACGCAUGUUGUGGGGUGGAAAGACCUUGUGCGGCUGAGGAUGGGCCCGGCGGCCUAUCAGCUUGUUGGUGGGGUGA